rnacentral:rRNA from 1 species
UGCAGUCGACGGAUCCUUCGGGAUUAGUGGCAGACGGGUGAGUAACGCGUGGGAAGCUACCUUGUGGUAGGGGACAACAGUUGGAAACGACUGCUAAUACCCUAUGAGCCCUAUGGGGGAAAGAUUUAUCGCCAUGAGAUGUGCCCGCGUUAGAUUAGCUAGUUGGUAAGGUAAUGGCUUACCAAGGCGACGAUCUAUAGCUGGUCUGAGAGGAUGAUCAGCCACACUGGGACUGAGACACGGCCCAGACUCCUACGGGAGGCAGCAGUGGGGAAUAUUGGACAAUGGGGGCAACCCUGAUCCAGCCAUGCCGCGUGUGUGAUGACGGCCUUAGGGUUGUAAAGCACUUUCAGCAGUGAAGAUAAUGACAUUAACUGCAGAAGAAGCCCCGGCUAACUUCGUGCCAGCAGCCGCGGUAAUACGAAGGGGGCUAGCGUUGUUCGGAAUCACUGGGCGUAAAGAGUACGUAGGCGGACUGAUAAGUUAGGGGUGAAAUCCCAAGGCUCAACCUUGGAACUGCCUUUGAUACUGUCAGUCUUGAGAUCGAGAGAGGUGAGUGGAACUCCGAGUGUAGAGGUGAAAUUCGUAGAUAUUCGGAAGAACACCAGUGGCGAAGGCGGCUCACUGGCUCGAUACUGACGCUGAGGUACGA